rnacentral:rRNA from 1 species
UACGAGGGGGGCGAGCGUUGUUCGGAAUUAUUGGGCGUAAUGGGUGCGUAGGCGGUUUGGUAAGUCUUAUGUGAAAUCUAUGGGCUCAACUCAUAGUCUGCAUGAGAAACUGCCGGGCUUGAGUAUGGGAGAGGUGAGUGGAAUUCCUGGUGUAGCGGUGAAAUGCGUAGAUAUCAGGAGGAACACCUGUGGCGAAAGCGGCUCACUGGACCAUAACUGACGCUGAUGCACGAAAGCUAGGGGAGCAAACAGG